AGAGUUUGAUCCUGGCUCAGGAUGAACGCUGGCGGCGUGCUUAACACAUGCAAGUCGAACGGUCCUUCGGGACAGUGGCGGACGGGUGAGUAACGCGUGGGAAUCUGCCCUUAGGAGGGGGAUAACGGUUGGAAACGACCGCUAAUACCCCAUAUGCCGAGAGGUGAAAUGAAAUUCGCCUGAGGAUGAGCCCGCGUCUGGUUAGCUAGUUGGUGGGGUAAAGGCCUACCAAGGCGACGAUCAGUAGCUGGUCUGAGAGGAUGAUCAGCCACACUGGGACUGAGACACGGCCCAGACUCCUACGGGAGGCAGCAGUGGGGAAUUUUCCGCAAUGGGCGAAAGCCUGACGGAGCAACGCCGCGUGAGGGAUGAAGGCCUCUGGGCUGUAAACCUCUUUUCUCAAGGAAGAAGAUCUGACGGUACUUGAGGAAUAAGCCACGGCUAAUUCCGUGCCAGCAGCCGCGGUAAUACGGGAGUGGCAAGCGUUAUCCGGAAUUAUUGGGCGUAAAGCGUCCGCAGGCGGCCUUGUAAGUCUGUUGUUAAAGCGUGGAGCUUAACUCCAUUUCAGCAAUGGAAACUACAAGGCUUGAGUGUGGUAGGGGCAGAGGGAAUUCCCGGUGUAGCGGUGAAAUGCGUAGAUAUCGGGAAGAACACCAGUGGCGAAGGUGCUCUGCUGGGGCAUAACUGACGCUCAUGGACGAAAGCCAGGGGAGCGAAAGGGAUUAGAUACCCCUGUAGUCCUGGCCGUAAACGAUGAACACUAGGUGUCGGGGGAAUCGACCCCCUCGGUGUCGUAGCCAACGCGUUAAGUGUUCCGCCUGGGGAGUACGCACGCAAGUGUGAAACUCAAAGGAAUUGACGGGGGCCCGCACAAGCGGUGGAGUAUGUGGUUUAAUUCGAUGCAACGCGAAGAACCUUACCAGGGUUUGACAUCCUGCGAACCCCUGAGAAAUCGGGGGGUGCCUUCGGGAACGCAGUGACAGGUGGUGCAUGGCUGUCGUCAGCUCGUGUCGUGAGAUGUUGGGUUAAGUCCCGCAACGAGCGCAACCCACGUCUUUAGUUGCCAGCAUUCAGUUGGGCACUCUAGAGAGACCGCCGGUGAUAAACCGGAGGAAGGUGUGGAUGACGUCAAGUCAUCAUGCCCCUUACAUCCUGGGCUACACACGUACUACAAUGCUACGGACAAAGGGCAGCAAGCUCGCGAGAGUUAGCAAAUCCCAUAAACCGUGGCUCAGUUCAGAUCGUAGGCUGCAACUCGCCUACGUGAAGGAGGAAUCGCUAGUAAUCGCAGGUCAGCAUACUGCGGUGAAUACGUUCCCGGGCCUUGUACACACCGCCCGUCACACCAUGGAAGUUGGCCAUGCCCGAAGUCGUUACUCCAACCCUUGUGGAGGAGGACGCCGAAGGUGGGGCUGAUGACUGGGGUGAAGUCGUAACAAGGUA
rnacentral:rRNA from 1 species